UGUUGCGUAGCGUUGCGAUAUGUCUGGUGACUUUUAAUCAGACGGUCACAGGUUCGAACCCUGUCGCGCUCACCA
rnacentral:tRNA from 1 species